UCCGAAUGGAGACAAAUACCGUGGGGACCUCAUGGGGAAGGAGACCCCUCUCUCAGCCUUCCCAUCCGUAGUUGUCCUGACCUGUUAAUAUAGAACAAAGAGAUUUGGAGAAAUAAACAUCAGGUUAAACUUUACUCAUAACCCUUUCAAUCAACGUUGUAUAUAUACUAGAUUUCAUUUUAUAAAUAUAAGUCAAAUGUAUAACACAAAUAUGCUAUAACAACAGAUUAAACUUAUUUUUCUAAAUCUGAGUCCUGGCAAUGGGCUCUAUUAUUCACUCUGCUUUUCUGUAUUUGUAAAGCUUUUUAAACUUGAAAAUAAGAGUUCAUUGAAGAAAAUGUGACCAUUCAAAAAUUAGUUUAUUCUAUGGACUCCUUUGGAGGGGUUAUGAUCUACUUCAAUUACUAGUGGAUAUAUAUUACCAGCUCAGUGGUGAAAGCACUAAGAAAAUAUUCUAUUUUGUUAGAAAUUAGUGUUGAGUGAAUACUAAUCAAAACUUUAAAACCUAAAUACAUGGACAUAAGAAUGGAUGAUUCCAUUUAAUUCUCCACUGACUUUAAAUGUAAUUGCUAAAUUUACCCUUUGCCCAUUUCACCUCCUUCAAAUCUCCCAGUAAUUCUUUGUUUUCCUCUCCUGUCAAUAUUGUGUUCUCAUUUAUUUAUUUUUUUCCUAUUUUCUGAUUUUUGAACAACUCUGAGGGAUGUGUGUUUUGCUUGUAUUAGGACGAGUUCAUUACACAAACCCCUCAAGCAACUAGACCCUCACCACAGCGAGCAACUGAGACUCCAGACAGAGCAGGGGCCUCUCCUGGCAUUGACUCAGGCUACCUGACAAAGACCUCAGAAGCCUCACCAAUGACUGUGCAGCAAUAAGACCCUGAGUGACUGCGUGGAGCAGAGCCCUCUGCUGACAGCUGCGCAGCUUCCAUGGAUGAGAAAUGAGUCUUCGCUGCCUGCAGUCACCGAGGGUGGGGAAGUUGGACGUUCAGUUCUGAGCCUGUUGAGUUCUCCAUGAGAUGUCCAAGUGCAGACAUCAAGCAGGAACUUGAUACGUGAGUGAGCAGUCUGGAAGUGCAUGAACUUUAUGUCAUGGAAAAUGAUAACCCCGCCCC